rnacentral:tRNA from 1 species
UCCUCUGUAGCUCAAUGGUAGAGCGGCGCCCUGUUAAGGCGAAGGUUAGAGGUCCGAGUCCUCUCGGGGGAGCCA